CUCAGAAAGCAUAACUCCUAACAUCAGGCAGCAGAGCAUAAAAUGCUGAAUCCGUGGCUAUUUAUAUGUUGCAUGUAUUUACAUACGCCUUCAGAAUUUUACUGAGCCAGAAAAUGUGCAACCUCCUUGUAGAUGCAGAUGUGUCUAUAACUUACAGUUGUUUGACACAGCUGCUUAGGAGAGAUGGGUGACAGAAGCAGUUCUUCCUUGGGCUGGAGACCAAUUGAUGAUGUAAUGAGAAAGAAAGGCUAGGAAGACUUUAUCCACAACAAAUGAUCAGUCUCUGACAACACAGGAGAAGCUUGUCCAGAUCCUUGCAACAGUUCAUUUCAGCGUGAGUGGCAUUAUAAAAUGAAUGUCAGUGACACGGAAGCAAGCUCUGUGCUGAAGAAUUUGCUCCAACUUUAUGUGCAACAAAGGGAUAGAAAAAGUGUCCGGUGCUGUAAUUACACAAACCCCUAUGUUCAGGAGCAGGAAAAUAUCAUGGCAUCUCUAUUCAUCCUGAUUAUUGUUGGGUUUUUUGGCUUUCUUCUCUUUGCUUUGAUGCUCAGCAAUAUUGUUUUCAAGAAGCAGGAAAAUUACAUGGACUGUGUUUAUCGUGAGACACGGCAGACAGCUGGAAGAAAAAUAUCACAUGAAGACAAAUUGGCUGUCCUCACAAAGAGUUUUACUUCAAAGCUAAGCCAUAAUGACCAAUGUCAAAAGACUGUUAGCUUCAGCACAGCACCCGAGGCUUCAAGCACAGAGUCAGUCCUGAAAAGUGUAUGAAAAUAUACUCCAAAUGGAGCCUGAUGCCCUAUGAACUCUAGGCACUUCUGUUGCUUACAGAAGUAUAGGACUAAGAGCCUGGACCAGUUCUCUGUGAAGCUUAGAUUUUGCAAGGCAAGCUUCCCACUCGCAGCUGAAGAUAACAGUCCUGUCCUCCUGAACAGCACUAACGUAUUCCUGUACCAGCCCUGUGCUUUCUGGUGGGAGACCAGUAAUCAAGCCCAGACAUGCAGGAUCGUUUUAUAUUCUUUUCAGCCUUUUUUUAAUAUGUACUGUGUAGUUCAUGGAAGAAGAAAACUAUCUCCUUCCUUAUAUUUUUUUACUGCGCCAUUGUGAAGGCUAGCAUUUUUUCUAGCCAUGACCUGGCCAUUCUGGGCAUUAACAUGGAUGGCUUAUUUAUUUAUUAUUGUUCAGCACUGAUGUUUAU